UCAAUCGCAUUGUGCGUAGAUGUAAUUUUGUUCUGUAAAAGCUACAUUUGCGCAUAAUGCGAUUGAUCAAUCGAUGAAUUGAAAAACUCGCCUAUAGUGAUAGUGUACACUACAAAAACAAGGGAAUAAAGUUUAUAAUUUGAGGUUUGAAAUGGAAACUAUGAUGUAGGAAGAUUGUACUGAGGAUGUGGAGUCAUCUACAGAUUUAUGCGACAUGGUACAAAAAAAAAGACAACAAAGAGGUUCAUAACUCAAGAAAAUCAACGAUGCCGCUAUCAUUGUUAUGGAACCUGAGACUGCAUUGAUAAUGACUCCAAAAACUGAGUUGUGGUAUCUCUAGCUCUAAUCAUUAAACAGAAUAUAACUGCAAAUAUUGUCAAGCUCUUACCAAAACAAAAAAACACAAAUAGUCAAACAACUAUAUAAA